rnacentral:lncRNA from 1 species
UUGCGGGUGCUUAUCAAGAAAAGGUUUCCUGUAAGCUUCUAGCAAUUCACAGCCAUCUUUGAUUAUUUAUUCUGAAAAAUCUCAAGUUAAACUAGCAAAUCUUAGAUUAUAUCAACUAACAUAAAGUUUAUUACAACUCGCGUGACCUAUAGGUUGACUUAAGAAAUUUACAUCUCAAACACUAACUUGAGUUUGAGUUUAAAUUUUAAGUUAAGUUGGAAAAGACAUUGACUUAUUAAAAUAUAGUGCUAAUUUUUAGUGACUUGAUUAAUCCAUUUAAAUUUGAUUUAAACCCAAUUGAGUUAAUUUUAAGGAACUAAAAAAA